ACACAUUAAAAAAUGUGAAAUAUCCACCAUAUAUACUCUUGUGUAUAACUGGUAUCAGUUGAUCAGAUUCUGAACUACAGUUCAUAGAGUCUGACAACUUGAAGAAAGCUGAUUGAGAAUGCAUGCCAUGUUGAUUAACUUCCGUGGGUGCUACUCAACAGCAAAAGGAACUAGCUGAAUGAGUUUGCAUGCCAUGUUGAUUAACUUCCGUGGGUGCUACUCAACAGCAAAAGGAACUAGCUGAAUGAGUUUGCAUGCCAUGUUGAUUAACUUCCGUGGGUGCUACUCAACAGCAAAAGGAACUAGCUGAAUGAGUUUGCAUGCCAUGUUGAUUAACUUCCGUGGGUGCUACUCAACAGCAAAAGGAACUAGCUGAAUGAGUUUGCAUGCCAUGUUGAUUAACUUCCGUGGGUGCUACUCAACAGCAAAAGGAACUAGCUGAAUGAGUUUGCAUGUGCCAUGUUGAUUAACUUCCGUGGAUGCUACUCAACAGCAAAAGAAAUCUAUUCUAUUGAUCGGUCGACUUCCUGGCAUACAUACACCAUGUAUUGCCUAGUGUCCCAGAUAGAUAGAUGGUAAGCAAAACACAAUAUUGUGUUUGCUCAGUGUCAAAAUGAAAAUGACAAAAUAGCCAAUACUAAAUGUGAUCAUUAGCCAGCAAGAAUAUAAA
rnacentral:misc_RNA from 1 species